rnacentral:rRNA from 1 species
UACAGAGGUCCCAAGCGUUGUUCGGAUUCAUUGGGCGUAAAGGGUGCGUAGGCGGCGCGGUAAGUCGGGUGUGAAAUCUCGGGGCUUAACUCCGAAACUGCAUUCGAUACUGCCGUGCUUGAGGACUGGAGAGGAGACUGGAAUUCCCGGUGUAGUGGUGAAAUGCGUAGAUAUCGGGAGGAACACCAGUGGCGAAGGCGACUUCCUGGCCUGUUCUUGACGCUGAGGCGCGAAAGCUAGGGGAGCAAACGGG